CGCAGUGUGAAGAUAUCUUUCUAGGUAUAUUUAUACUGUCACAUGUUGCCAAUUCUGGAAAUUAUAUUGAGCCAGUCGGUUUGGGGCAAUACCACCCUAACCCAAAGCUUCAUACUACCCCGUACCAGCGACAAUCCUUACAUAAUACCCCAUCUACAAGUGGGUUUCAUUUAGCUCUUCAUCUUCCCACUCAAAAAAAGUUAAAGAGUCCCCUGUCACAGGCUGGCGAAAACACGUGCGACGUUUAUCAUUGCCCUAUAACAUUUAUUGUCAAGGUGAGCACUUCGAGUGCGCUCUUUGGUAAGCACAUUCGUUUCUGUGUCCUUUUUGGCAACUACAUUAAAAGGA
rnacentral:lncRNA from 1 species